rnacentral:rRNA from 1 species
CACAAGCAGCGGAGCGUGUGGUUAAUUCGAAGCAACGCGAAGAACCUUACCAGGUCUUGACAUCCCGAUGCUAUUUCUAGAGAUAGAAAGUUACUUCGGUACAUCGGUGACAGGUGGUGCAUGGUUGUCGUCAGCUCGUGUCGUGAGAUGUUGGGUUAAGUCCCGCAACGAGCGCAACCCCUAUUGUUAGUUGCCACCAUUCAGUUGGGCACUCUAGCGAGACUGCCGGUAAUAAACCGGAGGAAGGUGGGGAUGACGUCAAAUCAUCAUGCCCCUUAUGACCUGGGCUACACACGUGCUACAAUGGUUGGUACAACGAGUUGCGAGUCGGUGACGGCGAGCUAAUCUCUUAAAGCCAAUCUCAGUUCGGAUUGUAGGCUGCAACUCGCCUACAUGAAGUCGGAAUCGCUAGUAAUCGCGGAUCAGCACGCCGCGGUGAAUACGUUCCCGGGCCUU